GCUAAGUAAUUUACAAGAUGCUGCCAAUAUUGAUGAUAAAACAUCUUCGUCAGCAACAUAAUUGAGAAAAUUUGGUAUACAUUUGAGGCCUCUAAGGCGUGGUUAUGGAAGCAGAGGAAUCAGUUUCACAAAUAGUAUGUGGCGUUGUAAGGCAUAUUCGAUUCUUUACUUGCCUCCUUUCUUGGUCGAAGAUGAUACAGAGUUAAUGUUUCAAUGUUUCAGACAUUACGUAAUCAGUCAAAAACUUGACAAAAGCAAACAUGAGGUUAGCUCCUAUUUGUUGUUUAUGAGCGAGCUAAUACGUACGCCUGAUGAUGCCAAACUCUUUGGCUCCAAAGGUAUCAUUCAAGCAAAUUAUUUUAAACACAAACUCAAGUUGCCAGGAAUCUUAAGAAGUCUAGCUCCAGAGGAAAGCUAUAAUCAAAACCUUCGCCACAUAAAACUUCAGAUUAGUGAUAAUUCUCAACCACUUUAGACAAAAUACUGGCAAAUUAUUUGUUUUGUCUUCGCUGUAACAGUGCUGCAAAUAGUUUACACCAUUCUCCCAUAUUACAAAAGCUAGUCUAUGUCGGUAUUGUUUGUAAUUUUGAUCGAUAUUAUAUUUGCAAUCGAUUCUGUGUUUGUUAAUGUUUGAAUUUCUCUUGACUGAGGAUCGAAUUUUAAUUCAAACUGUCAAAUGUUUAUGGUGAUCUUAAGCAAUUUCUUGUUAGUCUCUAAUGCAAUUUUAACCCUUAUAUAUUUCAACACACUUGAUAAGAUUAUUGUGUUGAUUGAGUUCCCAAACCAUUCAAAUAAUUAUAAGUAAUAGUGCAAAUAAUAAUGCUAUUUAUUCUCACUCGGGACGAUCCCAUGUUAUGUGGCAUUAUUUUGCGUACCUGAAUAUGAAAUUACUUGAAAAGUUAGCAUUACUCUAAUGCAAAUACCAAGACCAGAUUCAAACAAAUCCAGUCCAAUAACCAGUUGACUAAUCACUUGUCUCUCUGUGUGGUCUUUGGUAGCUUUGCUUCUCGUGUCUACACUUGAAAAGAUGAGAGUUGCUACACGGACAGGUAGGACCUGUCCGUUUAGAUAAUAGUAAAUUGAAUUAUUGCAACUUGACAUUUUCCAGUAAUUUAUUGAGCGGCGGAUGAAGUAGGGUCAUUUGAAAGUGGUAAAUUUUAGGAAUAAUUCUACUUCUACAAUAUUGGUGUACAAAAGUAGAGUGCAAAAAUGUGUUGAUAAAAUCUGGACCCUUGAUUUCAAAUGAUUUAAAAAAUUAUUUUUGAAAUUAUUGGUGUAGAUUUGAUUUUGUAACAUAACUUUGUAAACCCCCUUUAUUAUUGUAGCAUAGCUCAAAUUUUAGGCCCUAUUUGGUCCACAUUCUUUAAAAAAUAUAGAUACAUUUUUAAGCAGUGAUUUGAUAUCAUUUCAAUACACAUUCUUCAGUAAAAUAAUGUUACACUUAAGUCCAAAAUUUUUCCUUAUUUUUAACUACGCAUUACCCAUCAAUAAACUAUUCUAAAAUGCAUUCUUAUAAAAAUAAUGCGGCUCAAACAAAGGCUUAUUUUUUCAGGUUCUUAUCUUUGUUAUUGGCUGAUAUGUCAAGUCUGAAAUAAGUGAGGCUGGCCUAAGUGCAUCUCCAAUGGAUGCACCAAAUCACUAACAUUCACCCAAUUUUAGUGUAAGAUCUCUUCAAUGUGGCACAAAAGUUUGCUCGACCUAAGCGCAUCUCCAAUGGAUGCACCAAAUCAUCAAAAUACACCAAAAUUUGAUGUAAAAUCUUUCCAAUGUGGUAUCAAAGUUUGCUCGAUUUUGGUGCAAAAUGAUGCAAAGUCAAUUUUACCCAUUUCUUCUAUUUGCCAAGCUAAUUGAUGGAGGGUAUUUGUGCAAUAUAUGUUUUGUAUUGAAAAACAAUUAAACGAAAAAUCUAAAAUAAGGAAUAAAAUAUGUUUGCUGGAAAUGAAUUCAACAAUAAUUUUCAAAUCCCAUGUUAAUGUGGAGACGAGGAGGAGAAGAGAAGACUUGGAAGGUCAGAACAAGCUAAAUAAUUUACAGGAUGCGGCUAAUAUUGAUGAUAAAAUAUCUUAAUGAGCCACAAAAUUGAGAAAAGUUGGUAUACAUUUCAGGCCACAAAGGUGCAGAGGAUUUGGUUUCACAAGUAGCAUGUCGCGUUCCUUUCUUGGUUGGAGAUGAUACAGAGUUAAUGUUUCAAUAUAUUAGACACUACUAAAUCAGUCAAAAUUUUAACAAAAGCAAACAGGAGGUUAGCUCCUAUUUGUUGUUUAUGAGAGAGCUUAUACUUAUGCCUGAUGAUGCCAGACUCUUUGGCUCAAAAG
rnacentral:lncRNA from 1 species